GGCUCGGUGGUGGAUGGUUCACACCCAAUUCGUUUGACCGAGGUGAGGAGAAUCAAAGUGGGAGCAGCCUGUUCAAUUCAGGCCCGAGCCG